CCAGACUCCUACGGGAGGCAGCAGUGGGGAAUAUUGGACAAUGGACCAAGAGUCUGAUCCAGCAAUUCUGUGUGCACGAUGAAGUUUUUCGGAAUGUAAAGUGCUUUCAGUUGGGAAGAAAAAAAUGACGGUACCAACAGAAGAAGUGACGGCUAAAUACAUGCCAGCAGCCGCGGUAAUACGUAUGUCACAAGCGUUAUCCGGAUUUAUUGGGCGUAAAGCGCGUCUAGGUGGUUAUGUAAGUCUGAUGUGAAAAUGCAGGGCUCAACUCUGUAUUGCGUUGGAAACUGUGUAACUAGAGUACUGGAGAGGUAAGCGGAACUACAAGUGUAGAGGUGAAAUUCGUAGAUAUUUGUAGGAAUGCCGAUGGGGAAGCCAGCUUACUGGACAGAUACUGACGCUAAAGCGCGAAAGCGUGGGUAGCAAACAGGAUUAGAUACCCUGGUAGUCCACGCCGUAAACGAUGAUUACUAGGUGUUGGGGGUCGAACCUCAGCGCCCAAGCAAACGCGAUAAGUAAUCCGCCUGGGGAGUACGUACGCAAGUAUGAAACUCAAAGGAAUUGACGGGGGCCCGCACAAG
rnacentral:rRNA from 1 species